rnacentral:rRNA from 1 species
CCGCGGUAAAACGUAGGAGACGAGCGUUAUCCGGAUUUACUGGGCGUAAAGCGCGUGCAGGCGGCAUGGCAAGUUGGAUGUGAAAGCUCCCGGCUUAACUGGGAGAGGUCGUUCAAUACUGCCAGGCUUGAGAGUGGUAGAGGGAAGCGGAAUUCCGGGUGUAGUGGUGAAAUGCGUAGAUAUCCGGAGGAACACCAGUGGCGAAAGCGGCUUCCUGGCCCAUUUCUGACGCUCAGACGCGAAAGCUAGGGUAGCAAACGG